GCGUCGAGCGGCGGACGGGUGAGUAAUGCCUAGGAAAUUGCCCUGAUGUGGGGGAUAACCAUUGGAAACGAUGGCUAAUACCGCAUAAUGCCUACGGGCCAAAGAGGGGGACCUUCGGGCCUCUCGCGUCAGGAUAUGCCUAGGUGGGAUUAGCUAGUUGGUGAGGUAAUGGCUCACCAAGGCGACGAUCCCUAGCUGGUCUGAGAGGAUGAUCAGCCACACUGGAACUGAGACACGGUCCAGACUCCUACGGGAGGCAGCAGUGGGGAAUAUUGCACAAUGGGCGCAAGCCUGAUGCAGCCAUGCCGCGUGUGUGAAGAAGGCCUUCGGGUUGUAAAGCACUUUCAGUCGUGAGGAAGGUGGUGUAGUUAAUAGCUGCAUUAUUUGACGUUAGCGACAGAAGAAGCACCGGCUAACUCCGUGCCAGCAGCCGCGGUAAUACGGAGGGUGCGAGCGUUAAUCGGAAUUACUGGGCGUAAAGCGCAUGCAGGUGGUUUGUUAAGUCAGAUGUGAAAGCCCGGGGCUCAACCUCGGAAUAGCAUUUGAAACUGGCAGACUAGAGUACUGUAGAGGGGGGUAGAAUUUCAGGUGUAGCGGUGAAAUGCGUAGAGAUCUGAAGGAAUACCGGUGGCGAAGGCGGCCCCCUGGACAGAUACUGACACUCAGAUGCGAAAGCGUGGGGAGCAAACAGGAUUAGAUACCCUGGUAGUCCACGCCGUAAACGAUGUCUACUUGGAGGUUGUGGCCUUGAGCCGUGGCUUUCGGAGCUAACGCGUUAAGUAGACCGCCUGGGGAGUACGGUCGCAAGAUUAAAACUCAAAUGAAUUGACGGGGGCCCGCACAAGCGGUGGAGCAUGUGGUUUAAUUCGAUGCAACGCGAAGAACCUUACCUACUCUUGACAUCCAGAGAACUUUUCAGAGAUGGAUUGGUGCCUUCGGGAACUCUGAGACAGGUGCUGCAUGGCUGUCGUCAGCUCGUGUUGUGAAAUGUUGGGUUAAGUCCCGCAACGAGCGCAACCCUUAUCCUUGUUUGCCAGCGAGUAAUGUCGGGAACUCCAGGGAGACUGCCGGUGAUAAACCGGAGGAAGGUGGGGACGACGUCAAGUCAUCAUGGCCCUUACGAGUAGGGCUACACACGUGCUACAAUGGCGCAUACAGAGGGCAGCAAGCUAGCGAUAGUGAGCGAAUCCCAAAAAGUGCGUCGUAGUCCGGAUUGGAGUCUGCAACUCGACUCCAUGAAGUCGGAAUCGCUAGUAAUCGUGGAUCAGAAUGCCACGGUGAAUACGUUCCCGGGCCUU
rnacentral:rRNA from 1 species